rnacentral:lncRNA from 1 species
UUGUAGUGGAGUCAUGUAUUUAGUUGUCAGAUCCUUUAAAGGGUUAGACGGAAAUUGGGUAUUCGGCUAAGGCAUGGGCCUGGCACGGGUGCCGAGCCGAGCUGGUCGCCUAGCGGAGUGUCCUGUGGCGAGAUUGCUUCUGGUCGGCGCUCUUUGGUCGGGCGCCUCUCUGGUCGGCGCUCUUUGGUCGGGCGCCUCUCUGGUCGGCGCUCUUUGGUCGGGCGCUUCUGAAAUGGCAUGACUUGGGUUUUCCCCCAACAGUGUCUAUCUCUUUUCGUGAGAAAAGAUGAAGAAGACUGGCAACACUGAAAGAAAAUAGUACCUUAACCAGUAUUCAUUCAUUAAAAACACAGUUAUGAUUUUUUUGGUGUAGAAAAAGCUAAAUCCUGUUCUUGCAACUUGUAUUUCUUUACUAGUUUUAAAUCUUUGUAUCAUAAUAUUUGAUCGUCAAUUUUAAAUUAUGGCCAAACUAGGCUAAUAUAGUUUCUAACCUUGAACGUCUUUUGGAUAGGUCAAGGCGCAGAGCCGUGCUAUAUUGACGUUUGCAUUUCUGGGCGUCCCUGCUACUGCUGCCCAGCCCAUGGACGCGGGUCACGCUGUUAUAAUACGCGAGCGGCAUGCGUGGCCGACUGCAACCCCCCUGCAGGAAACCUUUACCAGACUCCAUGAGUUCAAGAUUCGAAAUAUGCACUUGUCCUCAUGAAUAAUGAUCCAUGUGUGCUGUAAUUGCUUCACAUGCCUUUUUAGAAAGUAAUAAUAAUCCAGUUAUGUUAUAUAUUAUCAGAAAUGGCUGUCUAUCUGUACGUGAUAUAAUCCAUAACAUCACCCAACAAAACUAGCCAAAAAAUAUUAUUUAUGAUUAAGGGCUCGUUUGGUUCGCAGGAAAAGGAGGAGGAAAAGUGUGGUCAACGGAAAAGUAAUAAAAUGCCUCUUGUUUGGUUGGAGUUUUCAAAGGAGAGAGAUAGGAAAGUUGUAUUCCCAUAGGAAUAUGAUUCCCACAUUUCAUGG